CAGCAGGGCAGGGAGGUACUCCUGGCAAUGAGCACCCAGUCUUUGACCCUUCAGAGUAUUUCCUUGUGUGAAAACAUCUGUGUGGAGGAAACUUUGCUACAGAGAAGUUAAGUAUCUGGAAUAGCAACUGGAUCCAGAGAGACACCAGACCGGCUCCUCCUGCUCACAUGAACAUCAGUGUGAAACAGUCCUUUGGAGCAGGAGCAACCUCCCAGAAGAAAAACGACACCUCCUCCUAUCCCAGCAGCCACCAAUUACUAAUAGCGCCACAGAGAUGGAGCCUAAUGAGCCCCUCAUCUAUCCCUACUGGAGUGCUCACUGGCUUGAUCUCCUGUAGGAAACCACAGUUGUGAGUUCAUGAGGAGGCAUCGUGUACAGACGACAGCAGGUCAUACUGGAGGGUCAUUCUGGUUGCUGACUAUAUCAAUAGUUUGUUCUGUUUUAUUGCCAAGUCAUAAUUCUAUGGGGUGAAUGCGCCAUAGUUUAUCCAUCCAUUGAAGAAUAUUUGGCCUGUACUGAACCUACACAAGACUACAUAGCAACAUUCAGUCAGGGAUUGGAGAGUGGCUCAUGGGCCCCUAUCCCCAUUAUUCUAAAAUAUUGACUACUGAUGAAUUCUGAAAGGAAUACAGUCUUUCUUCAGUUGAACUAUCAAACUCCAAGUCUGUAGUCUCAUGGAUAGCCUUUGUUAAAAUCAGUGGGUCACAAAACAAAACAACAUGAAUGUAGAGGAGGGGUGUGGGACGGGGGAGAUAAGAAGAGUGGGUGGGAGUUAAUCAGAAUACAUUUUUUUACACACCAGUGAAACUGUCCAAGAAUGGAUUUAAUUACUAAAAAAGAAUAUCUGGCUGGGGUUGGUGGCGCAUGCCUUUAAUACCAGCACUCGGGAGGCAGAGGCAGGUGGAUCUCUGUGAGUUCGAGACCAGCCUGGUCCAGGACAGCCUCCAAAGCCACAGAGAAAUCCUGUCUCGAAAAACCAAAAAAAAAAAAAAAAAAAAAAAAAAAAAAAAAAAAAAAAAAAAAGAAAGAAAGAAAGAAAAGAAAAAAAAGAAAAAAAAAGAAUAUCUGACUUAUUUCCGCUUAUCACCCAUUACAAAUAAAACUAGAAUUUAAAAUUAGGGCAAACAUACAAGACUGCCUACAAUCUUAGCACUAGGAAGCUGAACCUUUUGAUUAUGAGUUUGAGGCCAUCGCAGGCUGUGGAGGGAGGCCCUUUCUUGAAAAAACAAAAGCAAAACUCCCAAACCAAAGGAAAACAAACACAUAAAAACUGUUUCUACAGGAGAAUUUAAAAGAUGAAUGAUAGGGCUGGAGAGAUGGCUCAGAGCUUAAGAGCACCGGCUGCUCUUCCAGAGGUCCUGAGUUCAAUUCCCAGCAACCAUCUGUUAUGAGACCUGGUGCCCUCUUCUGAUGUGCACAUAUACAUGGAAGCAGAAUGUUGUAUACAUAAUAAAUAAAUAAAAUCUUUUUUAAAAGAUGAAUGAUAAAGAA
ensembl:lncRNA